rnacentral:RNase_P_RNA from 1 species
AGAGAGGGCCGGAGGGCCGCGGCCGAGCGCCUUGCCGCUCGGUCGAGGAAAGUCCGGACUCCACAGGGCAGGCCGCUGGGCGCAAGCCCAGGAGGGGCGACCCUCGGGUAAGGCCACAGAGACCAGACCGCCUCGCUUGGGGCAAGGGUGAAAGGGUGCCGCUAGAGGCGGCUUCAAGGGGUAAGAGCCCACCGCCGGCCCGGGCGACCGGGCCGGGCUGGCAGCCCCCCGGCCGGAGCAAGGUCGAGUAGGGAGGAAGACGAGGGCGGCCCGCCCUCUCGCCUCCGGGUGGACCGCCAAGAUGGAUGGCCCUCUUAAACACAGAAUCCGGCUUACGGCCCUCUCUGCGC